AUCGAACCCGGAUUGGUGUCCCAACUCGACAUCCAUGUUCCCAAUUUAUCCCGACCUUUUGCCGGACUGACUCAAUUUCAUCAUAGCGAUUUUUACCAUAUACAAUGGGUUUUUGAAUACUUUGCUAAAGGUGAUCGAAGCGCCUCUGCCGAAAGCACCAUUAGAUAGUGCUCUUUUUGCUCACUGGUUAGCUAUAGAAGGGAUACAACCUGCUAUUCCUGAAAACCCUCCACUUGAAGGUUCAUCUUUUACAAUAACUUUUGCAGCAAUUAGCUUGUGUAGACAUGCUAACGUACAUACAGAGAUGAUGGUUGCUCGAUUAUCUAUUGUUUGCUAUGCGCUGUCUUAUCAAUAUGAUAUUGAUUCUCAUUCCCUUAGUUGUCCUGGUUUGAAAUUUGUUUUCUCUGCCCUGUUGCUGCAAAGACAUGGAAGAGGAUAUUGGUGAAAAAUAACACUUGCUCAGCUGCCUGCUGAUAACCGAAAGACCCAGUAUAAGGAGGAUGGAGUUCCUGCUGAUCUUACAAUACCUGUUAAGCAUGUCUUAUCCCGUGAGCAUCAGCUUUAUUAUGACAGGAUUACAGAGCUUACUGUGCACAAAUCAACUCCCCUCUCUUUAAAGAAGCUCUAGCAAGCUUUGCAACAGAUCUUGGGCUUCAUCCUAUAGAUCCUUACUUCACAUAUUUUGUUGCUGAUGAGUUGCAUCAAUCAAUGCCAUCUGUAAUGACAUGCCUUGUUGCGAGAAGGUUGGGAAAUAAAAUCUCUGACCACCUGUAGGAACUGAGGGACUUCACAACAAAGUUGGUUGGUUUAAUAUGCAGGCGAUAUGGCCAUCUGUAUCACAGUCUCCAGCCACGUGUCACGAAAACUUUGCUGCAUGCUUAUCUUGAUUCAGCUAAGGCACUGCCUCAGCAUUAUGGAGCUAUCCAAGGGCUUAGCAGCUCCUGGACCUGGUGUGGUUCCCCUACUUGUGCUGCCCAAUCUUGAAGCUUCUUUGCGGUUGUUGGAGCCUGAAAUGCAGCUUGAGAAACAAAAAAAAUGAAAUGAAGAGACAUGAAGUGUCACGACCCAAAUCAUGGAUCAUGCGGGCGUCCACACUAACCCUCCCUGGUGGGCGAACCCUUCAGUGUGCUGCGGGUCUAUGCAUGUAUGAGCAUUUCAAGAUGCUUCCUGCCUCUCUAUCUCCAUCAAAUCGGACAUUCCUGAAGAGUAAAUUGAAAGUCUUGACUACAUUGUCGAGUACGUCUUGAAAUUUACUUAGUCUAUCCUUGCUAUACUCAAUAACUGCAAUUUUUUUAUUAUUCAGGUUUUUGAAAUAUUUGUGUUAAGUUGUCUGUUAAGUAUGUCUUUCUGCUUUUAACUGUCAAUAGAGAAUUUGUCUCGAGAAAGAUAUGUUCUGUAGCACUCCAUAGUUAUUUUAUAGUAUCUUAUUUCUGUAUGUAUCAGAUUGACAUCUCCUUUUAUGAUAACA